GACGAACGCUGGCGGCAUGCUUAACACAUGCAAGUCGAACGGAAACGCCCUGCUUGUUUGCGCUGAUGGGGGGGCGAAGGGGUAAGGAACACGUGAGUAACGGAACCUUCACUUUGGGAUGAGUUCGGGAAAGUGGGGCUAAUACCGGAUAGGAUCUCCCGCUGGAGGGUGGGCGUGGGAAAGUUUCUGCGGUUGGGGAUGGACGCGCGGCUUAUGAGCUUGCUGGUUGGGUAGUGGCAUACCAAGGCAGUGGACGGUAGCCGGCCUGAGAGGGUGACCGGCCACAUUGGGCCUGAGAUACGGCCCAGACUCCUACAGGAGGCAACGGUGGCGAGUAUUAUACAGUGGGAGGGAGCCUGAUGCAACAACGCCGCGUGUGGGAAGACGGCCUUCUGGUAGUGAACCGCAUCCGCUUGUGACGAAGCGUGAGUGACGGUAAUGGGAGAAUAAGCACCGGCUAACUACGUG
rnacentral:rRNA from 1 species